GGCUAGGAUGACGCCGGCGGUGUGCCUAAUACAUGCAAGUCGAACGCGUUGGCCCAAUUGAUUGAUGGUGCUUGCACCUGAUUGAUUUUGGUCGCCAACGAGUGGCGGACGGGUGAGUAACACGUAGGUAACCUGCCCAGAAGCGGGGGACAACAUUUGGAAACAGAUGCUAAUACCGCAUAACAGCGUUGUUCGCAUGAACAACGCUUAAAAGAUGGCUUCUCGCUAUCACUUCUGGAUGGACCUGCGGUGCAUUAGCUUGUUGGUGGGGUAACGGCCUACCAAGGCGAUGAUGCAUAGCCGAGUUGAGAGACUGAUCGGCCACAAUGGGACUGAGACACGGCCCAUACUCCUACGGGAGGCAGCAGUAGGGAAUCUUCCACAAUGGGCGCAAGCCUGAUGGAGCAACACCGCGUGAGUGAAGAAGGGUUUCGGCUCGUAAAGCUCUGUUGUUAAAGAAGAACACGUAUGAGAGUAACUGUUCAUACGUUGACGGUAUUUAACCAGAAAGUCACGGCUAACUACGUGCCAGCAGCCGCGGUAAUACGUAGGUGGCAAGCGUUAUCCGGAUUUAUUGGGCGUAAAGAGAGUGCAGGCGGUUUUCUAAGUCUGAUGUGAAAGCCUUCGGCUUAACCGGAGAAGUGCAUCGGAAACUGGAUAACUUGAGUGCAGAAGAGGGUAGUGGAACUCCAUGUGUAGCGGUGGAAUGCGUAGAUAUAUGGAAGAACACCAGUGGCGAAGGCGGCUACCUGGUCUGCAACUGACGCUGAGACUCGAAAGCAUGGGUAGCGAACAGGAUUAGAUACCCUGGUAGUCCAUGCCGUAAACGAUGAGUGCUAGGUGUUGGAGGGUUUCCGCCCUUCAGUGCCGGAGCUAACGCAUUAAGCACUCCGCCUGGGGAGUACGACCGCAAGGUUGAAACUCAAAGGAAUUGACGGGGGCCCGCACAAGCGGUGGAGCAUGUGGUUUAAUUCGAAGCUACGCGAAGAACCUUACCAGGUCUUGACAUCUUGCGCCAACCCUAGAGAUAGGGCGUUUCCUUCGGGAACGCAAUGACAGGUGGUGCAUGGUCGUCGUCAGCUCGUGUCGUGAGAUGUUGGGUUAAGUCCCGCAACGAGCGCAACCCUUGUUACUAGUUGCCAGCAUUAAGUUGGGCACUCUAGUGAGACUGCCGGUGACAAACCGGAGGAAGGUGGGGACGACGUCAGAUCAUCAUGCCCCUUAUGACCUGGGCUACACACGUGCUACAAUGGACGGUACAACGAGUCGCGAACUCGCGAGGGCAAGCAAAUCUCUUAAAACCGUUCUCAGUUCGGACUGCAGGCUGCAACUCGCCUGCACGAAGUCGGAAUCGCUAGUAAUCGCGGAUCAGCAUGCCGCGGUGAAUACGUUCCCGGGCCUUGUACACACCGCCCGUCACACCAUGAGAGUUUGUAACACCCAAAGUCGGUGGGGUAACCUUUUAGGAGCCAGCCGCCUAAGGUGGGACAGAUGAUUAGGGGAAGUCGAGC
rnacentral:rRNA from 2 species